rnacentral:rRNA from 1 species
UACGGGGGGAGCAAGCGUUGUUCGGAUUUACUGGGCGUAAAGGGCGCGUAGGCGGCGCAACAAGUCACUUGUGAAAUCUCCGGGCUUAACCCGGAAAGGUCAGCCGAUACUGCGGGGCUAGAGUGCAGAAGGGGCAACUGGAAUUCUCGGUGUAGCGGUGAAAUGCGUAGAUAUCGAGAGGAACACCUGCGGCGAAGGCGGGUUGCUGGGCUGACACUGACGCUGAGGCGCGAAAGCUAGGGGAGCGAACGGG